rnacentral:rRNA from 1 species
AUUGAACGCUGGCGGCAGGCCUAACACAUGCAAGUCGAGCGAGCGGCGGACGGGUGAGUAAUGUCUGGGAAACUGCCUGAUGGAGGGGGAUAACUACUGGAAACGGUAGCUAAUACCGCAUACCAUCAGAUGUGCCCAGAUGGGAUUAGCUAGUAGGUGGGGUAACGGCUACCCUAGGGGACGAGCCCUUGAUGGGCUGAGAGGAUGACCAGCCACCCUGGACCUGAGACACGGUCCAGACUCCUACGGGAGGCUGCAGUGGGGAAUAUUGCACAAUGGGCGCAAGCCUGAUGCAGCCCUGCCGCGUGGUUGACGAAGGCCUUCGGGUUGUAAAGCACUUUCAGCGGGGAGGCGUUACCCGCAGAAGAAGCACCGGCUAACUCCGUGCCAGCAGCCGCGGUAAUUC